CAAGUCGAGGGGCAGCGCAGUGUAGCAAUACAUGGGCGGCGACCGGCAAACGGGUGCGGAACACGUACACAACCUUCCUUUAAGUGGGGAAUAGCCCGGGGAAACCCGGAUUAAUACCCCGUAACAUUAUGAAGCGGCAUCGCUUUAUAAUUAUAGCUCCGGCGCUUAAUGAUGGGUGUGCGGCUGAUUAGAUAGUUGGCGGGGUAACGGCCCACCAAGUCUGCGAUCAGUAACUGGUGUGAGAGCACGACCAGUCACACGGGCACUGAGACACGGGCCCGACUCCUACGGGAGGCAGCAGUAAGGAAUAUUGGUCAAUGGACGCAAGUCUGAACCAGCCAUGCCGCGUGGAGGAUGAAGGUCCUCUGGAUUGUAAACUUCUUUUAUCUGGGACGAAAAAGGGACUUUCUAGUUCAACUGACGGUACCAGAUGAAUAAGCACCGGCUAACUCCGUGCCAGCAGCCGCGGUAAUACGGAGGGUGCAAGCGUUAUCCGGAUUCACUGGGUUUAAAGGGUGCGUAGGUGGGCAGGUAAGUCAGUGGUGAAAUCUCUGGGCUUAACCCGGAAACUGCCAUUGAUACUAUUUGUCUUGAAUAUCGUGGAGGUCAGCGGAAUAUGUCAUGUAGCGGUGAAAUGCUUAGAUAUGACAUAGAACACCAAUUGCGAAGGCAGCUGGCUACACGAAUAUUGACACUGAUGCACGAAAGCGUGGGGAUCAAACAGGAUUAGAUACCCUGGUAGUCCACGCCCUAAACGAUGGAUACUCGACAUACGCGAUAUACAGUGUGUGUCUGAGCGAAAGCAUUAAGUAUCCCACCUGGGAAGUACGAUCGCAAGAUUGAAACUCAAAGGAAUUGGCGGGGGUCCGCACAAGC
rnacentral:rRNA from 1 species